UUUCCGUAGGUGAACCUGCGGAAGGAUCAUUAGUGAAUAAACAAGUGCAGGUUGUGCUGGCCUUCUUGGUAUGUGCACGCCUGCCAAAGUUUCAUUCCAUCUUCCCACCUGUGCACUCUGUGUAGAUUCUGUAUGCUGUUGUCAAGCCUUUAUUGUGCUUGGUUGAGAGGAGUUGCUUGUUUUCACAAACAAGCUCUUCUUGGACAUGCAGGUCUAUGUUUAUAUCAACACCAUAUGAAUGUUUUAGAAUGUGUAUCAGGCUUUUGGCCAUUAAAUUAUAUACAACUUUCAACAACGGAUCUCUUGGCUCUC
rnacentral:misc_RNA from 1 species